CAUCGUUACGAAACAUUAGAGAUAAUGAGGAAAAGGACUCUGCCUUCAGAGGCAUCUGUGUGAUGAUUGGUGUGAAUCCUGGCGGUGUGGUCCAGGACUUCAUCUUCUUCUGUGAUGCGGUGGCCUCCUGGGUCAACCCUAAAGAUGACCUGAGGGACAUGUUCUACAAGAUCCUACAUGGUUUUAAGGACCAGGUCGGUGAGGAGAACUGGCAGCAGUUCUCAGAGCAGUUCCCGCCCAUCCUAAAGGAACGCCUCUCUGCAUGCUAUGGCGUGUAGCCCCGCCCCUCUGCUUCACACACAGCACAUGCUGUCAGGUUAGUGAUGACUGCUGAUGUCUUGUGAUGUUAUAAUGUGCUGGGACAGAGAAUAACUGUCCUAGGUGUUUUUGUUGCUGCUAGGUGUUUCUACUCAACUGUAGUAU